UCGUNUGUGAAAUUCCGGGGCUUAACUUCGGGGUGGCAGGCGAUACGGGCAUAANUAGAGUGCUGUAGGGGAGACUGGAAUUCCUGGUGCAGCGGUGGAAUGCGCAGAUAUCAGGAGGAACACCGAUGGCGAAGGCAGNUCUCUGGGCAGUAACUGACGCUGAGGAGCGAAAGCAUGGGGAGCGAACAGGAUUAGAUACCCUGGUAGUCCAUGCUGUAAACGGUGGGCGUUAGGUGUGGGGACCGGUUUGGUUUCUGUGCCGUAGCUAACGCAUUAAGCGCCCCGCCUGGGGAGUACGGCCGCAAGGCUAAAACUCAAAGGAAUUGACGGGGGCCCGCACAAGCGGCGGAGCAUGUGGAUUAAUUCGAUGCAACGCGAAGAACCUUACCUGGGUUUGACAUGCACCAGACGGUUGUAGAGAUACGUACCUCCCUUUGUGGUUGGUGUGCAGGUGGUGCAUGGUUGUCGUCAGCUCGUGUCGUGAGAUGUUGGGUUAAGUCCCGCAACGAGCGCAACCCUUGUCUUAUGUUGCCAGCACUUUGGGUGGGGACUCAUGAGAGACUGCCGGGGUUAACUCGGAGGAAGGUGGGGAUGACGUCAAAUCAUCAUGCCCUUUAUGCCCAGGGCUUCACACAUGCUACAAUGGUUAGUACAACGCGCUGCGAACCUGUGAGGGUGAGCGAAUCGCUGAAAGCUAAUCUCAGUUCGGAUUGGGGUCUGCAACUCGACCCCAUGAAGUCGGAGUCGCUAGUAAUCGCAGAUCAGCAAUGCUGCGGUGAAUACGUUCCCGGGCCUUGUACACACCGCCCGUCACGUCAUGAAAGUUGGUAACACCCGAAGCCCAUGGC
rnacentral:rRNA from 1 species